GGGGGUGGAGCUCAGUGGUAGAGUGUGUGCUUGGCGUGCACAAGGUCCGGGGUUCAAUCUCCAGUACCUCCA
rnacentral:tRNA from 1 species